AACGAACGCUGGCGGCAUGCCUAACACAUGCAAGUCGAACGAGACCUUCGGGUCUAGUGGCGCACGGGUGCGUAACGCGUGGGAACCUGCCCUUAGGUUCGGAAUAACUCCCCGAAAGGGGUGCUAAUACCGGAUAAUGUCUUCGGACCAAAGAUUUAUCGCCUUUGGAUGGGCCCGCGUUGGAUUAGCUAGUUGGUAGGGUAAAAGCCUACCAAGGCGACGAUCCAUAGCUGGUCUGAGAGGAUGAACAGCCACACUGGGACUGAGACACGGCCCAGACUCCUGCGGGAAGCAGCAGUAGGGAAUAUUGGACAAUGGGCGAAGGCCUGAUCCAGCAAAGCCGCGUGGGUGAUAAAGGCCUUAGGGUUAUAAAGCUCUUUUAACCGGGAUGAUAAUGACAGUACCGGGAGAAUAAGCUCCGGCUAACUCCGUG
rnacentral:rRNA from 1 species